rnacentral:rRNA from 1 species
CAGCAGCCGCGGUAAGACAGAGGAUGCAAGCGUUAUCCGGAAUGAUUGGGCGUAAAGCGUCUGUAGGUGGCUUUUCAAGUCCGCCGUCAAAUCCCAGGGCUCAACCCUGGACAGGCGGUGGAAACUACCAAGCUAGAGUAUGGCAGAGGGGGGUGGAAUUCUACGUGUAGCAGUGAAAUGCGUAGAGAUGUGGAGGAACACCGAUGGCGAAGGCAGCCCCCCUGGGCCAAUACUGACGCUCAUGCACGAAAGCGUGAGGAGCAAACAGGAUUAGAUACCCCUGUAGUCCCUGUCUCUUAUA